rnacentral:rRNA from 1 species
UACGUAGGGUGCAAGCGUUGUCCGGAAUUAUUGGGCGUAAAGAGCUCGUAGGCGGUUUGUUGCGUCGGCUGUGAAAACCUGAGGCUCAACCUCAGGCCUGCAGUCGAUACGAGCAGACUAGAGUGUUGCAGGGGAGACUGGAAUUCCUGGUGUAGCGGUGAAAUGCGCAGAUAUCAGGAGGAAUACCGGUGGCGAAGGCGGCAUCCUGGACCGGCAUUGACGCUGAUGAGCGAAAGCUAGGGGAGCAAACGGG